rnacentral:rRNA from 1 species
GACGAACGCUGGCGGCGUGCCUAAUACAUGCAAGUAGAACGCUGAAGGAGUAGCUUGCUCUUCUGGAUGAGUUGCGAACGGGUGAGUAACGCGUAGGUAACCUGCCUUGUAGCUUGGGAUAACUAUUGGAAACUAUAGCUAAUACCGCAUAACAGCAGAUGUUGCAUGACAUUUACUUAAAAGGUGCAAUUGCAGCACUACCAGAUGGACCUGCGUUGUAUUAGCUAGUUGGUGGGGUAACGGCUCACCAAGGCGACGAUACAUAGCCGACCUGCGAGGGGGAGCGGCCACACUGGGACUGAGACCCGGCCCAGAGUCCUACGGGAGGCAGCAGUAGGGAAUCUUCGGCAAUGGACGGAAGUCUGACCGAGAAACGCAGAGUGAGUGAAGAAGGUCUUCGGAUCGUAAAGCUCUGUUGUAAGGGAAGAACGAGUGUGAGAGUGGAAAGUUCACACUGUGACGGUAUCUUACCAGAAAGGGACGGCUAACUACGUG